GACGAACGCUGGCGGCGUGCUUAACACAUGCAAGUCGAACGGAAAGGCCCUGCUUUUGUGGGGUGCUCGAGUGGCGAACGGGUGAGUAACACGUGAGUAACCUGCCCUUGACUUUGGGAUAACUUCAGGAAACUGGGGCUAAUACCGGAUAGGAGCUCCUGCCGCAUGGUGGGGGUUGGAAAGUUUCGGCGGUUGGGGAUGGACUCGCGGCUUAUCAGCUUGUUGGUGGGGUAGUGACUUACCAAGGCUUUGACGGGUAGCCGGCCUGAGAGGGUGACCGGCCACAUUGGGACUGAGAUACGGCCCAGACUCCUACGGGAGGCAGCAGUGGGGAAUAUUGCACAAUGGGCGGAAGCCUGAUGCAGCAACGCCGCGUGCGGGAUGACGGCCUUCGGGUUGUAAACCGCUUUCGCCUGUGACGAAGCGUGAGUGACGGUAAUGGGUAAAGAAGCACCGGCUAACUACGUG
rnacentral:rRNA from 1 species